GCCUUUAUAGUUUAGUGGUAUAAUUAAAACUAAUAAGUCCUAAAUAAGGGUUCGAUUCCCUUUUAAGGCG